rnacentral:lncRNA from 1 species
AUAAAUUCAUUAAUGGGAAAUCGAACUAUCGUAGCAAGAAUUCCUUACAGUGAUUUACUUUUAUAUUGAGUACGAGUUGGAUGUCCUUUAUUAUUUUGGGCUCAUAAAGAUAUGUUCAUUUUAUUCUGGAGACUAUAAAUUCUUUGAUGUUCAUAUAAGUAUUAGUAUCUAUGUUUUGGUUUCUUUUCUGUAUAAUUAACAUGUGUGGUACUUAGUGAGGAGUACAGUAACAUUUGCCUCUGUUUUGUAUAUCCUUUGCUUGUUAUCUAUAUUCUGUCAAAAUGUAUUGAAAAUGCUAAUUUUUCUGUUUUUUCUUUCCAAGUGUGAAAUCUGUUGGUGAUAUUUAUCUCAGGAAACUCAAGUUUCAUAGAGAUCAGGUUUUUCAACAAUUUGCAAACCAUUUCCCCAUGAAGAGACCAGUAUAACAGCUGAACCCUCCAUUUUAACUAGAGAGCAUAGGCCACACAAUUUGUUUUUAAUAUAUCAGAGUCAGUUGUAAGUAGUUAGUGAAUUAAUAAACUUUCAGAUUUUUGUAGUUUUUCAAAAUGUGAGUGAUGUUGUUCGACUUAAAAGGACUGUGGAAGGGAAGAAAGUGAACUCAAAUAACCUUGGAAGUAGUAAUUCGAAAAUCUCUACAUCUACAAGAGUGGUUCUUAAUGGUCUCAAAAGCAACAGUACUUACUUUUAUAACUUUGUGUUUAAUUAUUUGUUUUAACUCCACUUUGCAUAAUUUUCAAUUCAUAUAUGUAACUAAUAAAUAAUAUUAAUGUGGUGAUGUUAAUUAUCAGCUAAUCAAAUUUAUAUUGACAAUAAUUUGUGGAAAUCUGAAUCCUCGAUUAGAUGUUCUUGCCUUUUGUUGUAAUGGCUAGAUUCCCAAAGUUGUUUCAUUGCAGCCUCUAAACUGCUCGUCGGAUAAGUAUAACUGCCUCUUUAUCGCAUUUUAAUAGGUGAUCGAGAUCCCAUUAAAACAUUUUGGAUGGAUUACCUGUCUUUUGCAUCUAUUAAUAUGCUGAUUUUUACAUUCUAGGGAACUAAUUGAAGUUUCUUAAGAAAACACAUCAUAGAUAUCUCAUUCAUUCCGCAUCUUAAAGACAAGCUAUUAGGGACGUAUGGAUGAAUGAUAUAUGAAGUUGCUGUCAUUUUCUUCCUUUGUUAUUCUUAACUUGGUGAUGAGGACAUCAUUAUAGUUGGACUUUUAUUAUUAUUUCAGUAUUUUAGUUGGACUUUUAUUAUUGUUUCAGUUAGACUUUUAUUUAAGUUUAUGUAUUUUAGUUAGGACUUAAGUAAUGAGCUUGGCCCUAUAUUUCUAGGUUUUUAUUAUUUAAACCUAUCUUGGUUUGUAAUUUUGGACGAUGAAUGGAUUGAGAAUUAUUGGUUUGGCUGCUGCCGUCUCUUCUCCCUCUUCUGCCCUAUUUCUCCUCCUUCUUCCCUGUUUCUCUGUGUUCCCUCUUCCCCACCAUCCUAAUUCUGCAUCAAUUUGGUAUCAGAGCCAAAAUCCAACAGUAACAGAAUCCCACAACCAAUUACCCCACGGCUGAAAUCCGUUCAGUUAAUCCCCAGUCAAUUAUCCCCCCUUUGAAACCGCCAAUUUCUCCUAUUUCAUAUACACUUAUAUACACACAACACAACCCACUGCAGACAAGGACGACCAGUUUCCCUCACGACUGCCAAUACACAACCCUCAAGAUCGCGACUUUCACACUCGCGAGCCGCAACCAAUACAAACCCCAACCAAAAGAAAGCCCGUCAUGCAGAACUUAAAGAGCAUAGAAGUCUAACCAGAAUUUUUUUCCAUCCACCGUCGCCCUCCAACUACCACCCUGCAGCUUACACAAAUUCCUCAUAACCCAUCGAAAUCACAGCAACCAAAAAAAAAAAAAAUGAAAAAAAAGAAAAGAAAAGGAAAGAGCAAAAAAAAAAAAAAAAAAAAAAAAAAAAAAAAAAGAAAAAAAAAAAAAAAAAAAAAAAAAAAAAAAAAAAUAGGUAUCGUGAAUUUUAAAUUUUCUGACAUCAUUUACAGGUUCAUUUUAGUUGACUGUUCAGUACCGCACCUUGACGAGCACGGAAUUUUCUAUCUUGGCAUCUCAGGGCUUAGUAGUUCAGAACGUGGAGACAUUCGACGCUGGGACGACUCAAACCAACAGUACUCAGGGAGUUCCUGAUCCUAUUCAUUUUUUGUUGACGCUAUUUCUUUAUUUUAGAAUUGUAUCAAUUAAUUCGUUGUGUGCUGGCCAUUUGAUAAUAUUGCCUUCAACCUAUUCGAUUGUAUUUCACGAACUAAAUUCCAUUGAUGUGUACUAGCCCUUUGAUAAUACUGCCUUAAACCUAUUCGUUUAUAUUUCACGAACUAAAUUACAUUACUCAAUCGUUUACCCCACGUGACUAGACCUAGUAUUUGGACAUUUGCUUUUCUAUUUUAUUAGCAUUAGUAGUACUAGCUUGCGAACGAGCCAUAAGUAACCCCAAACUUUAAAUUGACAAAAUAACAAAAAAAUAAAUAAAUAAAUAAAUAAUAAUAAUAAUAAUUUCAAUCACUAAUUCUUCGGUUGGCACUAGUUGAUUGUUGAUUAUUGAUCUCAGUAGUGCACUUUACGUAGUCGUGUUACCGUGUAUGCAAUUGCGUAGUGGUCGCGUUACUGCCUCUAGCUCUAGUAACCUUACCAUGGACCCCGCCCAAAUUGAGGCCCUCACCAGACAGCUUGCACAAUUACAAAAUCAACUAACAGCUGUCCAAACUGAGGUAGCCGCUACUCGUGAAGAGAAUAGAGCCCUAACCGCU